GCCCUCUCAAGUCUGCUAACGGCUCUUUCCUCAGUUUUCUCGCUAAUGGAGUGGAAUACGGCGGCGUCUGAAGGCUCACUGUCAUUCACCAGUGGCUCCAGUCUGGUUUGGGGGUCUACCCUUUCUCAUCCUGGCCUGCCAGCCAAGUAAAAAGAGAAAUAACUACAGACCUCUGCAA